AUCGCUUCUCGGCCUUUUGGCUAAGAUCAAGUGUAGUAUCUGUGCUUGUCAGAAAGAACAAGCCCUUUGCAACCUGUUCCAUCGUGUAACAUCACAAAACCAGGUGCGGAGGCCAAGAAGCGAAGCUCGUAGAGCUUUUAGUUGGAUUUUAGAUUAGCUGAGAUAGAUUUUUUUAGUAAAGUUCUUAGAUGGUUUUACAGGAAUGAUGAGGAAAAGUAACCUGGU
rnacentral:snRNA from 1 species